rnacentral:tRNA from 1 species
GGGGUUGUGGCUCAGUGGCAGAGCACUUGCCUCACACAUGAGGCCUUGGGUUCAAUCCUCAGCACCACA